AACACUCUUAACCACUAGGUGGCUAAAAUAUUGCCUGCAUAAUUAUUAGGUCGUUUUUAAAAACGUUUGUUUCAAAUAUUGAGUGGAAUAAUUUUCUAAUAUGUAUAUAAGAGAGGUUGAUUCUCUUUGCUGAUAUUAUCCACAAUGCACAAUUAGCUCAUGUUGAGACAUCUUCAAGUCGACAAUGUUGCGAGGACCCAGAAAUGGUGGGCGUACGAGAAAGAGCUGAUUCUGAUGUGACGUACACAUCCUUCAGAAAGGACAACAUCUACUAGGCUAUAUAAUGGACUGAGACUAUGAAGCCCCAGAGCUGGUUCAGGAAGAACUGGCUGUGGGUGGUUGGGGGAUCUUUUCUUGGCAUCCAUUUAACCACCUGGCUCAUGCAGAGGGCAAUGAGAAGCGUCGCUCGCUCUGAGAUGUCACUGAAAGAGAAGGAUUCCCAGGAGUGACUGGUGGUAAGGCGUUUUGCCGGUGGACUACUAUAUUUUUAACGACUCACGUGUGGAGUAAAUGGAAUUUAACUCUGAACUCAAGAUAAUGAUGUAAUUACCUGUGCUUGAUUGGCUGCAAAUGUUAUUCCUCUGUUAGAGAUCAAAUUAAACUAUGAAUUUCACAAUAAGUCAAACUGCAGAGUAACUUGCUGACAGGUGUGCGGAGUAUGAACAUGUUUCACCCAGGGAAGAUCAGGGCUGCAUUUGAAAACACUUUACAGACAGACAUCACAUAAUCGGUUACAUUUAAAAUGUCUGUCAUGAAAGCAAACAUUUGAUUCUUUCCAUUGAAACAAAAUUUGAGAUUAUAUUAAAUUAGACCAAGGAGUGGGCUUUAAGUACCAUCGCAAUUGAGUGCAAUAUUUUUUUAUUUAACCUUUAACUAAGCAAGUCAAUAUUGGGACCUCCAUUCUUAACACGUUCCAUCUUCAACAUCUUUAAAGCUGUUUUCAUUUUAUCGUGCUGACCCAAACUGUACUGUGCUGGUUCAGUGAUUUUAUUUUCACAUGCUCCUUUCCAGCAUGGUUCCAGAAAACGACGGUGAAUGCGUAACCAGGCCAGCGCAACACAGCUCGGCUGGCUCAGUAAGGUGGAAAGAGUUUCAUCGUUUCCGUCAUCAGCACUGCUCUUUCUCCAGAUCAGUGCCAAUGAUGGAAAUUAAAAAGCCACCUUGGAUUGAAAUAUUAAUGUGGCCAAUGUCUGCUUUUAGUGGACUAUCAUGUUGUUGCGCUCUCUAAAACAUGAUACCUACAUGAAAAAGCUUAUACUGCCCUCUAGGGUUAGAAUAAGAGGAUUACAACUACUGUCAUGUCAUAACACGUACUUUUAAGCUUGUCUGUCAAGAACCUCAGUGAUGCACUAGCUUGACUAGUUCCCGAGGGUGGCAAUGUUUACCAUCUCUCUGGAACUUGAUUGAUGAAUGUCACUGCGUAGCCAGAUAUUCAAGUUACAUGCUUUCCAGUAAGCUGAGCCUUUGUCCCAUCUAAUGAAGGAUGAUAUUGCCUUUGGACGUAUCUAACCAAGCAAGCAUGAAAUUAAAAAGUGUAAUCGCA